GUGUUUGCUUCAGCCCGCAUAUACUUAAAUUGGACUAAUACCAAGAAGAUUAGCAUGGCCCUUACACAAGGAUGACAUGCAAGUUCAUGAAGUUUUGUAUAUAUUU
rnacentral:snRNA from 1 species